UACGAAGGGGGCUAGCGUUGCUCGGAUUGACUGGGCGUAAAGGGCGCGUAGGCGGUUCGUACAGUCAGACGUGAAAUUCCUGGGCUCAACCUGGGGGCUGCGUUUGAUACGUGCGGGCUUGAGUGCGGAAGAGGGUCGUGGAAUUCCCAGUGUAGAGGUGAAAUUCGUAGAUAUUGGGAAGAACACCGGUGGCGAAGGCGGCGACCUGGUCCGAUACUGACGCUGAGGCGCGAAAGCGUGGGGAGCAAACAGG
rnacentral:rRNA from 1 species